ensembl:lncRNA
CAGGCUUCUAUGGCACUAGUAGGCCUUCUCCAGGUUCAGAUAAGUGGGGGAUGGUGCCCAAGGCUGGUACUCUGGUCAAGCCUCACCUGGGAACUGUUCUAAGCACUUUGACCUUGGGUUAUGGUCCUACUACAAUUCCCUUGAAGAGCUCACAGUGACAGGUAGAGAAGAGUCUGCGCCUCGAUCAGAUAACCAUUUCCUCUUCUAAGUGUUAAUAUGUGGUCUCAAAGAGGCUUUAACUAGGACUGGCCUCUGUCCAAACCCAUGAGAAGAAUCAAAUUCUAACAUGGACUUGGGGGAAAGCUACCAGUGGUUGCAGCAAGUAUGAAUAGUAAAAAUUUACACUUGCCUUCACACAAGGAAGCAAGAAUACUAAAUUCCAAUCUAUGUUAUAUCAUUGUACCAGCUAUGUGACUUUGGACACUUAGUCUUCAUGUAACAUCACUGUAAGAAAAUGUUUCUAUGGAUGACAAAGAUUGAAUGAGUCACUCCACAUAGAAGAUGAGUGGACUCCUUAAUUGCUGCUCACAGGCCAGAAAUAAACAUCAUCCCAACACAGUUUUUGACUUGCAAUAGACCCUCCACAUCUCUAGGUCUCCAGUGUUCAUCCGUGUAAUGAGAUCUUGAGCUAUGUGAUUUCUCGGGACUCUUCUGGGCUUGAUAUUCCAGGAUUCUAGCAAACUUAUUACAGCUGAAGUCAUGAAGGAAAUAAUGUGCAGUGUACACUAUGUGUGCAAACAGCAACAAAGUAGGCAUUGGGCAACGGAAGCCAAUGUGCCUGAAAUUCCUAGAGCCCCAGGGUUUAGCAGGGUAAAUACUGUCAUGCUUGUGUUUACCCUGAGCUGCAAACAGAUCAGAACAAAGUGUAAGGUACAAGAAUUCUCAACACAAUUAUGUGUUUCCCAAUAUGGGUUGGUAAUCUGUGGUGUUAUUUUACUUUCUAACAAAGAAUUCAUCUUGCUUGUCCUCUGGGAACACGGUAUCUUCCUAGGGAAAAAGUCUGCUCUCAGAGAGAAGAGUACUGGUGUUGUAAUGGAGCGGACAAUAUUUAAGCACCUGACCUAUCUGCAUUGCUGCAAUGGCAAAAUAUUUAAAAAGUCCCUAGAAUCAGAUGACAACAGAAGCACGACAAAGCAUAAGAUAUGAGACAGAAGAAAGACAUCAAGGAGGGAAAUACAGCUGUGGAAGCAUAGUAACGAUGCACCUUAAACUCCUAGGAAAACAAGAACAACCAGAAUCCAAAAUUAGUAGAAGGAAAGAAGUGAUAAAGAUCAGAGUGGAAAUUGAUGAUAAUGAGACUACAAAGAGAUAAAGGAUCAAUGAACCAAGGAGUUUAUUCUGUGAAAGAAUAAACAAGAUUGAUAAACCCUUAGCUGAAUUUAUGAAAAGAAGAAAAAUGCAAUAGCAAUGCAAAUAGAAACAAAAAAGGUGAAAUCACAAUGGACACCACUAAAGUCCAGAGAAUUAUAAGAAACUAUUUCUACAACUUGUAUUCCAAAAAAUCGGAGAACCUAGAAGAAGUAGAGAUUCCCAGACACAGGUGAAUUACGGGAAUGGAAGCAAGCAGAGAUAAACACCCUGGAUAGGCCAGUAACAGGCAAUGCAAUAGACGCAGUAAUAGAAACCCUCCGACUAAGAAAAUCCCAGGUCCUGAUGGAUCCACUGCUGAAUUCUUCCAGAACUUCAGGGAAGAUCUAAACCUGAUAGCCCUCGAACUCCUCUAGGAAGUUGAAAGGGAACAGACAUUGCCAAAUGGAUUCCUGGGAGCCAGCAUUACCCUAAUAACAAGCCUGGACGUAGACGCAACAGAAAAGAAAACUACAGCUCAAUUUACUUUCCAAAUAUAGAUGCAAAAUCCUCAACAAGAAAAUGGUAAAUGGCAACAAAUCAUUAAAAAGAUCUCACAACAUGGUCCAGACAGACGGCUUCAUCUCAGGGAUGCAAGGAUGGCUCAGCAUAUGGAAAUCAACAAACUUGAUACAUUGCGUGUCCUACGUGCAAUGCAGAGGCAAGGACGAAAAUCACACCAUCAACUCAAGAGAUGCAGAAAAAGCCCUUGAAAAAAAUCCAGCAUCCAUUCACGAUUAACCCCCCCCCACACACAAACAUAGGAAUAGACCAUCUUAUCUCAAACUGAUAACAGAC